rnacentral:rRNA from 1 species
GCUUACGGCCACACCACCCUGAGCACGCCCAAUCCCGUCUGAUCUCGGAAGCUAAACAGGGUUGGGCCUGGUUAGUACUUGGAUGGGAGACCGCCUGGGAAUACCAGGUGCUGUAAGCU